rnacentral:rRNA from 1 species
UACGGAGGGUGCGAGCGUUGUCCGGAAUCACUGGGCGUAAAGGGCGCGUAGGUGGCCCGUGGAAGUCUGCGGUGAAAGCCCGGCGCUCAACGCCGGGUCGGCCGUGGAUACUCUCGGGCUUGAGCUUACUAGAGGCAGAUGGAAUUCCGGGUGUAGCGGUGAAAUGCGUUGAGAUCGGCAGGAACGCCCGUGGCGAAAGCGGGCUCCUGGACCUCGCCUGACGCUGAGACGCGAAAGCCAGGGGAGCGAACGGG